UCUGAACUCUAGAACCCGUGUAAUAAAGGUGGAGAGUUUGUAAUUGCAGUUCUGGGAGACAGAGGCAAGUGGAUUCCUGGGGCUUGCUCUCAUCCAGCCCAGCUGGACCAGCAUCCCAAAACACAAGGCUGGCCUGGCUCUCUCCCCAGUAGUGUAUCCCGGACACUUGCUGUUUCUCCUGGACAAAGCCUAACAGAAAACCCAGCACAAUGAAAAUGCUCAGUAACUUUAUUGGAUUGGAUCACAAGAGCCCCUACUCCAUGGACCGACUGUCGGAAGACAGCAGACCUGAUGGCAGAGGAGUUGGUUAUGUUGGCUGCAAACAGCACUGUCUUAAUUAAGCAUGUCAGGGCCUAGGUUUGGAGGAAAUGAUGCCCGUAUGCACAAGAUCUGAAUAGCUCAAGUCCUGGAGGAGGCAGUAGCAGCCUGGAUCCUAGAGACUUCUGGCAAACAGACAGCUGAAGGAGUUGCAGGGGGAGGGAUCUCUUCUCAUUUGGACUUGGAGAGCUGAACUCUACCAUGACGGGAAGGACUUCCCCAUGCAAGGUCACAAUGAAUAAACCUAUCUUCCUGUGCUGGAUAGUUUUAUGUCAAUUUGACACAAGCUA